rnacentral:rRNA from 1 species
GACAAAGGAUGCAAGCGUUAUCCGGAAUGAUUGGGCGUAAAGCGUAUGUAGGCGGCUUUUUAAGUCCGCCGUCAAAUCCCAGGGCUCAACUCUGGACAGGCGGUGGAAAGUACCAAGCUGGAGUACGGUAGGGGCAGAGGGAAUUUCCGGUGGAGCGGUAAAAUGCGUAGAGAUCGGAAAGAACACCAACAGCGAAAGCACUCUGCUGGGCCGACACUGACACUGAGAGACGAAAGCUAGGGGAGUGAAUAGG